AUUCCAGCUCCAAUAGUGUAUAUUAAAGUUGUUGCAGUUAAAAAGCUCGUAGUUGGAUUUCUGGCGGGAGCGAUCGGUCCUUCACUCAGUGUUGGAACCUGAUUGUCUCCUGCCAUCCAUGGAGAAAACUUAUCUGGCAUUAAGUUGUCGGGUAGGCAAUCUCCAUCUUUUACUGUGAAAAAAUUAGAGUGUUCAAAGCAGGCUUAUGCCGUUGAAUAUAUUAGCAUGGAAUAAUAACAUAGGACUUUGGUUCUAUUUUGUUGGUUGGAGGCCAAGGUAAUGAUUAAUAGGGAUAGUUGGGGGUAUUCAUAUUUAAUUGUCAGAGGUGAAGUUCUUGGAUUUAUGAAAGAUGAACUCAUGCGAAAGCAUUUACCAAGGAUGUUUUCAUUA
rnacentral:rRNA from 1 species